CCUACGGGAGGCAGCAGUGGGGAAUAUUGGACAAUGGGGGGAACCCUGAUCCAGCCAUGCCGCGUGUGUGAAGAAGGCCCUCGGGUUGUAAAGCACUUUCAGUGAGGAAGAACGCCUGGUGGUUAAUACCCAUCAGGAAGGACAUCACUCACAGAAGAAGCACCGGCUAACUCCGUGCCAGCAGCCGCGGUAAUACGGAGGGGGCGAGCGUGUAUCGGAAUUACUGGGCGUAAAGCGCGCGUAGGUGGCUUGAUAAGCCGGUUGUGAAAGCCCCGGGCUCAACCUGGGAACGGCAUCCGGAACUGUCAAGCUAGAGCGCAGGAGAGGAAGGUAGAAUUCCCAGUGUAGCGGUGAAAUGCGUAGAGAUCGGGAGGAAUACCAGUGGCGAAGGCGGCCUUCUGGACUGACACUGACACUGAGGUGCGAAAGCGUGGGUAGCAAACAGGAUUAGAUACCCUAGUAGUC
rnacentral:rRNA from 1 species